rnacentral:rRNA from 1 species
AUUUGUCUGGUUAAUUCCGAUAACGAACGAGACCUUAACCUGCUAACUAGAUUCUAUCAUCUUAUGAUUGAUAUCUUCUUAGAGGGACUAUGUAAAACAAAUACAUGGAAGUUUGAGGCAAUAACAGGUCAGUGAUGCCCUUACAUGUCCUGGGCUGCACGCGUGCUACACUGAUGUAUACAACAAAUGCCUAACCAGACAUGGUAUGGCAAUCUCGAAUAUGCAUCGUGAUAGGGAUAGAUCUUUGCAAUUAUAGAUCUUGAACGAGGAAUUCCUAGUAAGUGCAAGUCAUCAUCUUGCAUUGACUAUGUCCCUGCCCUUUGUACACACCGCCCGUCGCUCCUACCGAUACCGGGUGAUCCGGUGAACCUUUUGGACCUGUAAGGGGAAGAUAAGUAAACCAUAUCACCUAGAGGAAGGAGAAGUCGUAACAAGGUUUCCGUAGGUGAACCUGCRGAAGGAUCA